AGUGAACGCUGGCGGCGUGCUUAACACAUGCAAGUCGAACGAGAACGGAAUAUAGCUUGCUAUAUUUGUCAGCUAAGUGGCGCACGGGUGAGUAAUGUAUAGAUAACCUGCCCUUAAGAAAGGAAUAACAGUUGGAAACGACUGCUAAUGCCCUAUAUGCCUUUAAUACAUAAGUAUGCAAGGGAAACGCUUUAGUGCUUAAGGAUGGGUAUGUAUGGUAUCAGCUUGUUGGUGAGGUAAUGGCUCACCAAGGCUAUGAGGCGUAACCGGGUUGAGAGGAUAGUCAGGCACACUGGAACUGAGACACGGUCCAGACUCCUACGGGAGGCAGCAGUGGGGAAUCUUGCACGAUGGACGAAAGUCUGAUGCAGCAACGCCGCGUGGAGGAUGACACAUUUCGGUGCGUAAACUCCUUUUAUAUAGGAAGAUAAUGACGGUACUAUAUGAAUAAGCACCGGCUAACUCCGUGCCAGCCGCCGCGGUAACAC
rnacentral:rRNA from 1 species